rnacentral:misc_RNA from 1 species
AAAAUAAAUAAAUAAAUAAGUAAAUACGCACGCAAUAACUCAAAAAGGUAAAAUUACUUAUUUAUUUAUUUAUUUUUAUUCUUCACCUAAUCAAGCCAAGUGGCACGCACGUACCUAAAUUUUCACUCAAAAAUUAUUUAAACUGAACUAAUUACUACACUUCUGGUGAGCAUACACUGCUAAGUUUGUAGAUGAGGACUAGAGUUUUGGUGCACACACAUAAAUGGCUAGAGUUUAUAGAUGAAAGGUCUAAAAAUAAUUUUGAUAUCUCUGCAUAUGUAAAUACCUAUUAUAAUUUGAAGUAUUAAUAAGUUCAGACAUAAAAUUUCAACUCCAAACCAUUUUAAUCUAAGAAAUUUUGAUAAUAUAUUAAAAAAAUUAGUCAACUUGUAAGUUAAACGCCCUAAAAUAACUUUUAUAUCUCUAAUUUAAAUUUAUAAUCUCACCAUUCUAAAAAUGCCUCUAAUACUAUUAAAUCGAAGCUGAUCAUGGAUUUUGAUAGAAAGAGAUGCACUUCCAUAGUUAGUCCUAUUCAUGAUUAGGGUCAUAUCUAUAUAUACAUGUAUAAAGCACUAAAGUAUUUCUAAGAGAAUAUCACGUGGCAUUCUCUAUUAUAUAUGUAUCAUUCUCUAUCAUAUGUAAGUUAUAAAUUAUUUAAUAGUUACGUUAUUAAUAUUACAAUAAGUAGCCAUUAUUAUGAGAUAACCUAUAAUAUAUUAA